rnacentral:rRNA from 1 species
GAUGAACGCUAGCUACAGGCUUAACACAUGCAAGUCGAGGGGUAACGAGAGGGAAGCUUGCUUUCCUUGUCGACGACCGGCGCACGGGUGAGUAACGCGUAUCCAACCUGCCCCCAACUAAGGAAUAACCUUGCGAAAGUAAGACUAAUACCCUAUAAUUUCCUCAGAUGACAUCUGACGAGGAAUAAAGAUUUAUCGGUUGUGGAUGGGGAUGCGUCUGAUUAGCUUGUUGGCGGGGUAACGGCCCACCAAGGCAACGAUCAGUAGGGGUUCUGGGAGGAAGGACCCCGCCAUUGGAACUGAGACACGGUCCAAACUCCUACGGGAGGCAGCAGUUAGGAAUAUUGGUCAAUGGGCGGAAGCCUGAACCAGCCAAGUAGCGUGCAGGAUGAUGGCCCUAUGGGUUGUAAACUGCUUUUAUACAGGAAUAAAGUUAGCCACGUGUGGUUAUUUGUAGGUACUGUAUGAAUAAGGACCGGCUAAUUCCGUGCCAGCCGCCGCAGUAA